rnacentral:rRNA from 1 species
GAUGAACGCUGGCGGCGUGCCUAAUACAUGCAAGUCGAGCGAACAGACGAGGAGCUUGCUCCUCUGACGUUAGCGGCGGACGGGUGAGUAACACGUGGAUAACCUACCUAUAAGACUGGGAUAACUUCGGGAAACCGGAGCUAAUACCGGAUAAUAUAUUGAACCGCAUGGUUCAAUAGUGAAAGACGGUUUUGCUGUCACUUAUAGAUGGAUCCGCGCCGCAUUAGCUAGUUGGUAAGGUAACGGCUUACCAAGGCAACGAUGCGUAGCCGACCUGAGAGGGUGAUCGGCCACACUGGAACUGAGACACGGUCCAGACUCCUACGGGAGGCAGCAGUAGGGAAUCGUCCGCAAUGGGCGAAAGCUUGACGGAGCAACGCCGCGUGAGUGAUGAAGGUCUUCGGAUCGUAAAACUCUGUUAUUAGGGAAGAACAAAUGUGUAAGUAACUAUGCACGUCUUGACGGUACCGAAUCAGAAAGCCACGGCUAACUACGUG